rnacentral:rRNA from 1 species
AGUGAACGCUGGCGGCGUGCUUAACACAUGCAAGUCGAACGAGAACGGAUUAUAGCUUGCUAUAAUUGUCAGCUAAGUGGCGCACGGGUGAGUAAUGUAUAGGUAAUAUGCCUCUUACUAAGGGAUAACAAAUGGAAACGUUUGCUAAUACCUUAUACUCCUUAUUAACAGAAGUUAAUAAGGGAAAGAUUUAUUGGUAAGAGAUUAGCCUGUAUUGUAUCAGUUAGUUGGUGGGGUAAUGGCUUACCAAGACUAUGACACAUAACUGGUUUGAGAAGAUGAUCAAUCAAACUGGAACUGAGACACGGUCCAGACUCCUACGGGAGGCAGCAGUGGGGAAUAUUGCACAAUGGACGAAAGUCUGAUGCAGCAACGCCGCGUGGAGGAUGACACAUUUCGGUGCGUAAACUCCUUUUAUAUGAGAAGAUAAUGACGGUAUUAUAUGAAUAAGCACCGGCUAACUCCGUGCCAGCAGCCGCAGUAA